rnacentral:tRNA from 1 species
CGGGAAGUGGCGCAGUUGGCUAGCGCGCUGCGUUCGGGACGCAGAGGCCGGGUGUUCGAGUCACCUCUUCCCGA